rnacentral:rRNA from 1 species
UGGCUCAGAUUGAACGCUGGCGGCAUGCCUUACACAUGCAAGUCGAACGGCAGCACGGGUGCUUGCACCUGGUGGCGAGUGGCGAACGGGUGAGUAAUACAUCGGAACAUGUCCUGUAGUGGGGGAUAGCCCGGCGAAAGCCGGAUUAAUACCGCAUACGAUCCACGGAUGAAAGCGGGGGACCUUCGGGCCUCGCGCUAUAGGGUUGGCCGAUGGCUGAUUAGCUAGUUGGUGGGGUAAAGGCCUACCAAGGCGACGAUCAGUAGCUGGUCUGAGAGGACGACCAGCCACACUGGGACUGAGACACGGCCCAGACUCCUACGGGAGGCAGCAGUGGGGAAUUUUGGACAAUGGGCGAAAGCCUGAUCCAGCAAUGCCGCGUGUGUGAAGAAGGCCUUCGGGUUGUAAAGCACUUUUGUCCGGAAAGAAAUCCUUGGCUCUAAUACAGUCGGGGGA